CCCACCUUUGCAGCUCUAACAGCUUCCUCUCUUCUGGGAGGGCUUUCCAGGUAUUUUGGAGUGUGGCUGUAGGAGUUUUUGCCCAUUCAUUCAGUAGAGCAUUUGUGAGGUCAGGCAUAGAUGUUGGAUAGCAGGACCUGGCUCGCAAUCUCUGUUCCAGUUCAUCCUAAAGGUGUUUGACAGGGUUGAGUUCAGGGCUUUGGGCAGCCCAGUCAAAUUCUUCUACAGCAAACUCAUCCAACUAUAUCUUUAUGGACCUUGUU